rnacentral:lncRNA from 1 species
UCAAGGCAAACCAGUAGUCUUCGACAUUAGACAAGCCCUGCUGAGAAUGGAGACUCCUUGUCUUCUUCUUGCAUCUCAUGGAAUAUAAUGGGUUUGAUGUUCUCUUUGAGGCGGUGUUGAGUGAGCAACAUGCAAAAUUGACUCUUUCCUAUGUUCACCAUCCCUAAGAAGUUGCCAUCAAUGUCGCAACGCAUCACAUGUUGUGAAUUAAACCUGAUCAGCAGCUCACGCUCAUUGAGCACAACCAUAUCAUUGAACCAUUGUACUGCUGAAUGAAGUGGUGUUUUCUUUUUCUUUUUGUAAGAAGUUAAAUAAACUCGUCGUGAUUUCUCUACCGUUGACACAUCAAUCCGAUACUUGAAAUCCCAUGUUUCGGCAUCAUAGUCCGGCAUCACCCAAACAUCCAUAACCGUGAAAGGAGGACUCGAGCUGCCCCAAAAAGAAAGCAUCUCCUUCAGUUUGAAUAACCUCCUAUUAGAGUACGGUCGGGCAGGACCGUGCAUCCACCGAAACGACUCGACUUCUGUGUCAAACACAAUAAUGUCUCUACUAUCUCCCGUAAUUUCCUUGGUUGAAUAAGGACACCAGUGUAGGCUACCAUGGUGGUCGACUGGUGGUGGACAAUAAGGCAAACACCACAACCCAUACAAUAACAUAUGUUUCACAUUAUGUAAUGGUGUAGUUGGUAUUCUGACUUCAGUGUGCCUUGGCUCGUUGGAGCCCACUGUGAGGACAUGUAAGCUGAAUAUAUGUGCCCAUGAAUAUGAAACCCAAAGCACCCUGUAUUCUCCAAUUUGAUGGUUCCGGUAGAAACCGAUUACAUUGUUCUCGGCUUUCCCAGCUUGUGGUUUAGGUAGGAGAGCAUACUUGCGGAUGAGUGAGUUGCAAAUGUAGAAUUGAGAUCUCCGAUGGAUGACGAGGAAGCCAUCACAGGAGGCUUGGAUGCAAUUCUCUGAAUGGUGUUUGGCACGUGGAAGACAUGGCCAGAUUUGUUGACUAGACAUGUUGGCGACGGCAUCAUGGAGGACGACAAAACUGGCUGGCCGCCCUUGCCCAUUGAUGAUGGGGAGCGAUUGUUGCGAGCGAUGGUGUUCGAGCAUAAAUUCAGGCAUGGAGGUGGCAUCACGCCAGGACGUGCUUACAACACGACAACGACCAACGUCCUGGUGUUAACCGAGCAAGUAUAUUGUCGAUGAUCUCCCCAGGUAAGUCCUCGAGCAAUGUUUCCCCUCUUCUAUCCGGCAUGGUGCUCUGUCAAGUUCAGGUUCAACUAAACAAAGCAACAAGAUUUAUUCAAUGUCUUGGGUGACUAACUUAUCUUAAACUAAGGGAACAAGUAAAAAAAAGUAUCUGGAAGACGAGACUGGUUUACCUUAGAAGAUGGACAUGCAGAGCAAGAGGUUCCAACGAUGGCGACGAGCAGUGUACGCAACACGAGUGUCUUUUGUCGCCUAUAGCCAUGAGUACAACGAUAUUCACCGCCAAUUUUAGAUGGGGAUAAAAAUGAUGAAGAAUACACACAAACACGCAGAGAGNNNNNNNNNNNNNNNNNNNNNNNNNNNNNNNNNNNNNNNNNNNNNNNNNNNNNNNNNNNNNNNNNNNNNNNNNNNNNNNNNNNNNNNNNNNNNNNNNNNNNNNNNNNNNNNNNNNNNNNNNNNNNNNNNNNNNNNNNNNNNNNNNNNNNNNNNNNNNNNNNNNNNNNNNNNNNNNNNNNNNNNNNNNNNNNNNNNNNNNNNNNNNNNNNNNNNNNNNNNNNNNNNNNNNNNNNNNNNNNNNNNNNNNNNNNNNAACAUGCUUACCUGCGUCAUGAAAGAUUGCACUCCAGCGUGCUCGCGUGGUAUUAAAGUGAGCGGCAGAAAAGAUCUCGGUGUGAAGUGGAGUAGUACGUUGGCCAACCCCGCUCGGAGGGUAGUUCAACCCUUAACGGGUCUCGAAUUGGAUGCCAUUGCCUAACGUAUGGAGGGGAGCGAGCUCGAUCUAGAACCAAGGAGGCAAGACACGACGAGCGGCACUUGUCAACUCGUUUCUGAGCAGAGGCUAGGUAUCGUGGUGUGCUUAAAUAGGAUGUGUUCAAUACUAAGCAAGUUUCUUAACAAAAUAAGAUUAACCAAUGAUUUGGGUAAGUCUUAAUCACUUGCCUUUUUUAGGUAAUCCACACCACUUGCCUGAAAAUUACAGAAUUUAAUAUGAUCCAUUAUUUCUUCUUGGCAUGGGCUCCUCUUUCUUCUUACCUCGCCGAUCUCACCUCGCGUUUCCUUCCAUAUCUAUUGGUUGUUCGACUGAAUCGCUACCCCACAGCUUCGUCGGCUGGGCCCACCCAACCAUGACCAUAAAAGUCGAGGCUUAGCUCCUCCACCAUCGCUCUAUCUAUCCCCGAAGGGUAAAAGCCAAAUAAAAGAUUAAAAUAUGAAAUUGCGAGAGAUUGUAUAAAUUAAACUAUGUUUAGCCAAUACAAUGGAAUGAUCGUUCCGUGGGGUUGGCCCAAGGCCAUCUUUUUGCUAGGGUGGUUUCCAUAUUUGAGUGUAUGUGCUUUAGUAGUUGUGGCCUAAAUUGGAUAUGUUGGUUGUAUCUAACUAAUCAUUAUUAAUUCCGCUGGUUCCCCCUUCAAUCUGGCCCUGCCUAGUUGGUUAUCAGUGAUGGGCAUUUCUCAUGUGGUCAAAUAUUGAUGGAAAAGUAACUACUCGCGGGCCUAAAUCCUUGCCCGCCAGGGAUGUUAUUGUUACGAUGAUGGUCUCAUGUGAAAUCACUAAUUAAGAGACACCCUUUGCAAAAGUCAUCCCCACCUUCCAGGUUACGAUAAGCGGCACACUGCAUGCGCUCCACUUGUCACAACUCGGGAGUUUUCCUUUUCUUCGUAGAUUCGUUUAUUUAAAAUAUUUUAUCUUUUAAUCUGUGUGUCCAAAUCGCGAACGGUUUUUAGCAUUGGAUUUCUCGCGUCAUGAUCUUCGAAACUAGAUCUCAUGUUGUUAAUAGGUUUCACCGAACUUCUUUCCACAAAAAAGGGAAAAUCGCAAGAAAAAAACGAGUCGGAAGCAUGAUUUCCCCCACUUUUUUUUCAUUGUGCUUCCACAUGAAGCAUGUCCGUACCUCUCACAGAAGAAAAAAAUAUAUGCUUUUUCCUUUCCGUGAGGCACAACGGUGCCUUUCACGGAAGUAACCCCCGUGACUCCACGAGAAGCAAAUAUGAGCUUCUCGUGAAAGACUUUUUUUCUUUUCGAGUGGCAUAGUUAUGCCUCUCGCGGAAGAAAAACUGCGCCUUCACUAUAAGCAAAUCUGUGCCUUCUGCGGAAGAAAAAAAACACACUUUCUGAGAGGCACAAUCUCAUGAAGCAAACUCGACUGCACAAGAAGCAAACUUAUGUCUCUCGCGGAAGAAAAAAAACUGAUAUUGUUUUCUUUUUCUAGAGGCAGAAUUUUGUCCAAAAUUUAUGGAAAACUGAAGCCAAAGAAAAUCUAAAACCCGAAAACGCUUACAGAAAAAUAAAAAUAAAAUCCCAAGAGAGCGCGUAACACAUGACACGUGGCAGCGCUGAGAGCGCACAAAGUGGCGCGCUCCCAGCCCAACAAAAGUGACCCUUAAGGAGCUCUCGCAAGUGGUAACCCUCGAUUAGUUGCUCUCCGGUCUCAUGCUACCCACAAGUCUGAUUUUCCCUAAUCAGUGUUAUAGCCCAUACUUGUAAUGGACUUAUAUUUUAGCAUUUCUACGAUAAAAAUAUGGUCGAAAUAACCCAAGUUGCUCACGCCACACCCUAGCCAAUUACGAAGCGCGGGGCAGCGUCAGAGAAGCGGCCAACUACGAAGUCGUCAUUGGGGCAUGCCGCGAGCUUGCCGGCAGAGUGAAGACGGUGAGCGUGGGGCCAUGGUGCGGACGAGCGUUGGGAACGGCCGAAGGUCCUUCGCCAUCAUAGCAUAUCUAUCUUGUUCGUACUAAGUUGUAAUCCUAAUCUUUCUAGGUAUAACUAUUUUGUACUCCCUCCAUCCGGAAAUACUUGUCAUUGAAAUGGAUGUAUCGUAUCUAAUUACAAAUCGAUUAGAUUACUUGAUCCUGAUUUUGGUUGGUGUAAACGUAUAACAUUGAAUAUAAAAGAUGGAGACCGGCCAGGCUUUGAGAGCCGCGCCUACGCCAUUGUCUUUCAUCAAGGACAACUAGCUCACUAAUGGAUUAGUGGUUUAUUUGGGACAUGGUGCUUGGCUCAACCCACACUCUGAUGGGAGCGUAGUCACCGCCAGCAUUUUGGAUACCGCCCGAGAAAACUGGUUACCGGGCAGAUACUGCGUUUCCUAGUACCCCACUAGAAAUCAACUUUGAAAGAAACAAAUUCUAAAUUUUCGAAUUUUAAUGAGUUUUUGACAACUUUUACUUGGAUUUAAAAAAAAAUCAUCUGAAAUUUGCUCGAAAUUUUGCGGUAACCAUGGUAACCGAGUUUCUCAGUGACCCACGAGAAAAAAGUGCCCCUCGGCAGUCUAAACCUUCGUCACCGCUCCAUUAGGACGCCGACUCGACAUGAUAUAAAAGUGUCAAGCACCGGGUGGUGAACAAAGAUGUGCACUUUGCAGCAGCAAGCUCCAGCAUAGGAAGAAGGAAGGACGCUGGAUUUCCCCUCGUAAGUGUGGGAUGUAAGCAAUCUUGGAGCCCAGACGAGCUUCUAGCGAAAAACUGCCGGGAUCGGCCGGGAUUAGAAAGGUUUUUUUUUAAAAGGGGGUUUGUCCCGACCUCUGCAUCAGAGUGAUGCAUACAGGCAUAUUAUUGAUAAACAAAAGGUCCAACAUAAGUCUCGAGGUCUCAAACAAAAGGAAAAAAAGCUCAGAAAGAGCACGAAAGCAAAAACAGGACAACCACAACCGGCAGGCAAAACAAAAGAUAGAAAACUAAACACCUAUCCUAUUACAUGACCGCCAUCCAAACCGGUUGAAGAUAGCCUGUGCUACCGUCUCCCAUCGGAUAGAUCCAGUAACCAAAUGCUCCCUGGCCUCCGUCGGAGUGAGUAGCGACCACAUACGGAUGAGUGUAGUGGCCCUGAAAACAACCUGCAAGAAAUGAAUAUUUGUUGUUCUGUUAAAAACCAAGUCGUUUAUACAGUUCCAAACUGCCCAUAAUAAAGCACAUACUCCUACACGGAUAUGCCUCGCUGUUUCUGCAUCAAUCCCAUCUAGCCACGUCCCAAAUAACGUGUUGAUGGAAUUCGGAGGAGUAUUAUUAAAAGCUAUGUGGACCGACCUCCACAAUUUUUUUGCCAAAGAGCAGUCAAGAAAGAGGUGUUUGAUUGAUUCAUCACUAUCAGAAAAACUACAUCUUUUAGAUCCAGUCCAGUUGUGCUUCGCCAAAUUGUCCUUAGUUAGGAUAACCUGUUUGUGGACAAACCACAUAAACACUUUGAUUUUUAAAGGCAAUUUGACUUUCCAAACAUGUUUCGAACUAGGAAUAAUGCUAGUGUUGAUAAUAUCCAAAUACAUGGAUUUAACCGAAAACUCACCAUUCUUAGCUAGUUUCCAGCGCAACUGAUCGGGCUGUUGAGAAAGGUGGACAUCCAUCAAUCUUCUCACAAGAUGGAGCCAAGCUUCCAAACGGUUUCCCGCUAGCGUCCUCCUGAAUUGAAUUAAGAGGAUUGGACUGUAGUACUGUUGCAACGUAAGCGUCUUUUCGCUGAACAAUAUUAUAGAGAGAAGGAUAUUGGAUUGCAAGGGGCAUCUCCCCUAGCCAGGUAUCUACCGAGAAUCUUGUGGAAGUACCAUUUCCAACUACAAAUUUUGUCCUGUUAAAAAAGACUGAUUUCACUCUCACCAAUCCCUUCCAAAGAGGCGAAUCAGGCGGUCUUACCGUCACCUGGGACAAGGUUUUGCACUGAAGGUGCUUAUUACGAAGAAUCUGGGCCCAUGUGGCAUCCGUCUCUACAGAUAACUUAUACAACCACUUGCUGAGAAGACAUAUGUUCUUCACCUCUAAAUUUUCAAUGCCUAGACACCCUUGAUCUUUCGGCCUACAAAUGAUAUCCCACUUAGCGAGUAUGUAUUUUCUUUUUAAUUCACCACUCUGCCAGAAGAAGCGUGAUCGAUAGAAAUCUAGCCUUUUCCGUACUCCAACUGGUACUUCAAAAAAGGACAAGAGAAAUAUAGGCAUACUUGUGAGAACCGAAUUAAUCAGAAUCAAUCGUCCUCCGUAUGACAUAAGCUUGCCCUUCCAACAACUCAGUUGUUUUUCAAAUCGAUCUUCAAUGCACUUCCACUCCUUGUUUGAAAACUUGCGAUGGUGGAUUGGUAUACCCAAAUACGUGAAAGGUAAAGACCCCAAUUCGUACCCGAACAAUUCCUUGUAAGCUUGUUGUUCUUCUUUAGCUCUUCCAAAGUAGAACAAUUCACUUUUGUGGAAGUUAAUCUUUAACCCCGAUAAUUGUUCGAACAAGCACAAUACUAGCUUCAUGUUUCUAGCUUUAGCCAAAUCAUGCUCCAUAAAGAUGAUAGUAUCAUCAGCAUACUGUAGGAUAGACACUCCCCCGUUAACUAAAUGCGGAACGAGGCCACCUAUGCCGGGAUUAGAAAGGAUAGGGUGUCAAUUUAAGGGAUUUACAGGUAAGGGUUUCAUUCAGACUUCGAAUACAAAUUCAAGGUUUAUUUCAGACUUUUCUCUAUAAGAAAAUACGAGUACUACUUAAGACAGAUCAAAUUCCAUUCUGAACAACAUGAUCAACCUAUUAGCCUCUUGCAUAUUGAAUAAACAUUACAAACGAAAAUGGAAUACGUAGCUUCUAAGAAAAUGACAGGGUGCAUCCAUGUUAGAAAAAACAUUCACUCAAAGGACGUGAGAAGACAAAUCUUUUAUCUUAAUAGUGUCAUUCUUGCUUCUUAACAAUGUGAAUUAGAAGUAAAACUUUGCGAAUGCAUGAAUAAUGAAAAGUUACAGCACCAUACAUAGAUACUCCAUGGUUCGGAACAUUAGUAGUAUGUUCAUGGCAUGUUAAUAAGCACCAGCUAAUUACAUCAAUUUUUUACCACAAACAUCCAAAAUCACAUGCCCUAUUGGUGUGAAUCCAAGAGCAAGGCAAACCAGUAGUCUUCGACAUUAGACAAGCCCUGCUGAGAAUGGAGACUCCUUGUCUUCUUCUUGCAUCGCAUGGAACAUAAUUGGUGUAAUGUUCUCUUUGAAGCGGUGUUGAGUGAGCAACAUGCAAUAUUUACUCUUUCCUAUGUUAACCAUACCUAAGAAGUUGCCAUCAAUGUCGCAACGCAUCACAUGUUGUGAAUUAAACCUGAUCAUCAGCUCAUGCUCGUGGAGCACAACCAUAUCAUCGAACCAUUGCAUUGUUGAAUGAAGUGGUGUUUUCUUUUUAUUUUUGUAAGUUAAAUAAAGUUGACGUGAUUUCUCCACCAUUGACACAUCAAUCCGGUACUUCAAAGCCCAUGUUUCGGCAUCAUAAUCCGACAUCACCCAAACUUCCAUAACAGUGAAAUGAGGAGUCAAGCUGCCCCAAAAAGCAAGCAUUUCCUUCACCUUGAGUAACCUCCUAGUAGAGUAUGGCUAGGCAGGACCAUGCAUCCACUGGAAUGACUCGACUUCUGUGUCAAACACAACAAUGUCUCUGCUGUCUCCCGUAAUUUCCUUGGUAGAAUAAGGACACUAGUGUAGGCAACCAUCAAGAUCGAUUGGUGGUGGACAUUGAAGCAAACACCACAACCCAUACAAUAACAUAUGCUUCAUAUUAUGUAAUGAUGUACUUGGUAUUCUGACUUCAAUGUGCCUCGGCUCGUUGGAGCCCACUACAAGGACAUGUAAGCUGAAUAUAUGUGCCCAUGAAUAUGAAAUCCAGAGCACCCUAUAUUCUCCGGUUUGAUGGUUCCGGUAGAAACCGAUUAUGUUGUUGUUGGCUUUACCAACUUGUGGUUUAGGUAGGAGAGCAUACUUGCGGAUGAGUGGGUUGCAAAUGUAGAAUUGAGAUCUCCGAUGGAUGACGAGGAAGCCAUCACAGGAGGCUUGAAUGCAAUUCUCUGAAUGUUGUUUGACACCCGGAAGACAUGGCCAGAUUUGUUGACUAGAAGUGUUGG